GACGAACGCUGGCGGCGUGCCUAACACAUGCAAGUCGAGCGGGGAUUUAAGUGGAAGUUCUUCGGAAUGGAGAUUUAAAUUCUAGCGGCGGACGGGUGAGUAACGCGUGAACAAUCUGUCCCGGACAGGGGGAUAACACUUGGAAACAGGUGCUAAUACCGCAUAAGACCACGGCCUCGCAUGGGGCUGAGGUAAAAGGAGCAAUCCGGUUCGGGGUGAGUUCGCGUCCGAUUAGCUAGUUGGUGAGGUAACGGCCCACCAAGGCGACGAUCGGUAGCCGGCCUGAGAGGGUGAACGGCCACAGUGGAACUGAGAGACGGUCCAAACUCCUACGGGAGGCAGCAGUGGGGAAUAUUGGGCAAUGGGCGAAAGCCUGACCCAGCAACGCCGCGUGAGGGAAGAAGGUUUUCGGAUUGUAAACCUCUGUCCUAUGGGACGAAGGAAGUGACGGUACCAUAGGAGGAAGCCCCGGCUAACUACGUG
rnacentral:rRNA from 1 species